UUCUCUGUUGUCUAUAACAGCCUGUGGACUGAUUUCUAUGUGAGGGACUCGGGCUGGUUUUUCUGUGAAAAUUCAAAAGGAUGUGAUGUUUAUGCGCACUCCCGAGUGGCUUGCUUUUCUCCGGCAAUAACAGGGUGCAAUUCUAGCUAACGUUAGCUUAGAGAUGGAGUCCGCUAACGUCAACGACUGGCACCUACCACAACACAGAGUCAGGAUGUGACGUUUAUGCGCGCUCCCGAGUGGCUGGCUUCUCUCCAGCACUAACAGGGUGCAAAACUAGCUAACGUUAGUUUAGAAAUGGAGUCCACUAACGUCAGCGACCGGCAACCACCACAACACAGAGUCAGGCAGAUAAAACCACAUCAAUCAUCGACAGAAUAUGACUGCAAAGUCAUAAAAAGAAGAAAGAUAAGCGGUGAUUGUAUCUUGCUUGCUUGUGCACUGGGUCAAAGUCUGAAGUUUAGAGGUGUGCUGGUAUAUGUUUUGAUCUGAUGCUUGUUUUCACUAUGCAAACAUGAAGUAUCACUCAAUCAAUAUUAAAAAAAAAAGAAAAGAAAAAUAAGGCUACUUGAGGACAUGUAUGUGAGGCAGAAAAUGUUUUUUCCAGCCUCCAGUCAUUUUUACACAGGAGACCAUUAGACAAAUUCUUACUGUCUACUUAUCAUAACUAGUUAGGUAGAAUACAAUAUAAUCUGACAAUUUUAAACCCGACAUGCAACAAACAAACAACCAUAUAAGCCUUGUAAUCCCUGCAACCUUUUGCCUUCAUCCUCUUGACUUGGUGCACCAUAACAGAAAUUUGAGCCUGUGACAACUAUGGAGGUCUGCCAAGCUGACCAGAGUUUCAUCUGAUUUUUUUUGUCAGCUGAGCUCAGCCAAUAACAUCAGCCAAAUUAUGAAUGAUGGAUGGGUUGAUCAGUAAACCGUUACUGCCUGCUCCAUGCCUACCUGACAGCCGCGCAGAGCUCCUGAAAGCAAGAUCAAACCUGACCUGCCCCUCCUUCCUUCAUCUUCUGUUCCACCCUCAGCUUCACACACAGUGGACAGUACCAACAAUCCUUCUGUUGUCAAAGCAGAGAACAGACAGCAAACAGAUAACCUUGGGCCAAAUAUGUCUGCAAGAAUUCUGCAAGAAAAAGCUGGUAUCAAAGGAUCGGCGGAUAAUGGAUAAAGAUAAAAAAAAAACUAAACUGAGAAAAAAAAGGGAAUAAAGCCAGACAAGUGCAAGAACCAAAGCAAGGAGCGGGAAUGUUUCCAACACAUUGUGGAUAAGACUGAUGAUGCAGAAAGCAGAGCAAACACUCACCAGACCCUUUACUCUUGCUGUUGACCUUUACCAGCCGAGACUACAAAGACUACAUGCACUGGAGGCGGGGAGAGACAGUCAAGCCGCACAGAAGAGAAACUUUUUAUACCGGUAUAUACACACACAAGCAUGCACAGCUACCCAAACAAACUGACAAACAAAAGGACGGAGCAGCAGGAAGAGUUGUGUAUCCUACACAGGCAUAUGCAAUGAUGAAAGAGCAAAAAAAAAAAAAAAAAAAAAGCAGGCUGCACACUGGGACAUUGUCACCAAGGUCAAGUAAUAAAUACCCUUAUAGUGCAAGCCAAGAAAAACUCUGUGGUUUUCACACACUUGUAUGUGGUCUAAACACUACUAUACCAUGAAGCUUGGCAUUUAAAAACAAAGCGCAAGCACAUAAGUUCACCUUCAAGGGAUUUAUUGUCAUAUUAAAAUGCCAUAACAUGUGACCUGGUUGCUCUCCAAUCAAAAGUCAUGCUAUCACACACAGUGACACACAUAAAGUAUACACUAUAAAUACAUGGAGUACAGUACACACGGAAAACAUACUUAAAAAAACUGAGAUAAAUAGACUUGAAUAAAUAGAACAGAAAGUGGGUUACUGGCUACCUGCAGCUGUGUCCUGAAGACUGUUGAAAUCUCUUAUCACCUGAAGAUAAAAGCUCUCAAAACACUAAUUUCAAUGUUUUUCCUGCUACUUUUCCUAGCAACAUAUUAAGGUAUUGUAUGGUAUACUUCACUAACAAGCAAGGUUCUGCAUUACAAAAGCUAAAGAGGGUUGAGUCAUGAUUUCCACUUGAAAAAAAAAACAAACAAAUCCAAGGCAGUUGCACAAAGAGAGAAUUAGAAAACGUAUUCACACCCCAGGAUAUUAAUUCCCUUUGAAGGAUUUGUGGGGAAGUGUUGUUAAUUAUUUCACUGAGAUGGAUGAAAGAGACCUUUUACAAGUGAGAACAAAUUGUUAUUAGUGUCUUUUCAUUGGUUGCUAAGACACAAUGAGUACACAUUCGCAGUAAAACAGGAAGAGACCCCAUACAUCAAGAGGCAUUACAUCGUACAGCUUUCCAGUCGUUGCUGCCCUUUGUUUUCACUCAUCUCCCUCCCUGCCAUUGUUUCUUCAUCACAUCCUUUUCCAACUAGGAUUGGAAAUAAUCAAAUCAUACUUUGAUUAAGACUAACAAGAACUUUGCCUUCUUGAACUUAGGUUUGCUACUCAUCAAAAAAAAAAAAUUCUUUUGCUGAAGAAAAACAAACUGUUGUCUUAACACUCCCUGAUCUACACUGAAAAACAAAGACAAAAUGUAGCUUUUAAACCCAAAAUCCGCAGCUUCACAUGUUGCAUUUAUAACUACACACAACAACAUAAUCUCACUUCAUCACGGUUGGUAUUUUGCCAUCUAACAGAAUGAAAUGUUUCAACCAGGCAAUUCAACAUCAGUUGUUGUUUUCACUCUAAUAUGUUCAAAGUGUUUCUCCAUAUUACUCAGUAAUGAGUCAAACAAUGAAUAUAAAUUACAAGUCGGUCUGCAUAAAUACUUCCUGAUGCCAAGUCUUCAUCAGAAGUCUAUUGUUUCUUUACAUACUUAGCAGUGAUUCAUUCAUAUCCGUACAUACAUAAUGGUUCAAAUGAAUUUACAGCAAAAUUAUUCUUGGCACGAGAAUAAAAGGGAAUGUCGUCAUUUAUGCUUUACCGUUCAACAGAAAGAAUUCCCAUUUCUCUCUAAUGAACUGGUCUGAGCACAGAAUUUGAGAUAAAUAAUCUUUGCUGUAUCACACAGAAUGAAAGAUGUCAGAUUGUCCAAAUCAGUUUGGAUUUAAAUAUUUUAGAAAACACAAAAACCAAAAGUUAAUAACGAUGCACAUAAAUGCCGGUUGACUGUUUGCUACGCCCCACCCCUUAGGUGCUGUACAUGAUAAAUGUAGCUGAAUUGCUACUCGAAAUUCUUAGUAUUAUUGAAAAAAGUGGUCCUUAAUUUCAGACAAAGGUAGACAAAAACAAGCUUUUCAUUUCUAGCUGGCGACAGUAGAAACGACCUGUCAUUAGCAGAUUGAAAACCCUUUAUCCAGUUAACUUUUUAAUGUUUCCAGCUGACUUCUUUCAAAAACAAGAAUCUUGUUAAAGGGCUCUUAAUAAUGUUCUUGAUGGCUACAUACUGUUAAUGACAUCUUGUUAAAAAGCUGCAUGUCCCAAGCAAUGGAAUUAAAGAAACUGUGUUAUUCUUGUAUUGUAGUUAAGAACUAGUCCAAGUAUUAAAAAGUAUUAAAAGGUAUGACAAGGAAAAACUAAAGAUCCUGAGUAUCACUCUCCCUACAGCCCCGUGCACAUGCUUCGGCAUGUGGAGAAAAGCUUGACAGGCCUGCUGUGCCUGGUUACGGUUGCUAAGCUAUGGCUGGCCAAUUGCUGUUCGGGGGACGAGAUGUAUAAGAAGAGGAUUGUUGUUUCUGUCUCUGUAAACAGUGACAUUUUUUCCUCUUUCCUUUCUAGUAGUCUACACAACUCCUGAAACAAACACAUGGUGUGAUUAUCUAAUUUGGCGGUCAUUUCACGCAAUGCUUACAUCUUUUUGAAGUGUACUGAGUGAACCCUUGAGUUUAGGGAGCAUGUUCAUCGUUCUUUUUCUCAGGGUCAACUGCAGUAGAGCAAAUUAUGUUCUGGCCGACCUUGUCACCCAACAUCUGUCUUGUUCAACUCUCCCCAAAUUCCAAUCUGGCCUGAAUCUCUCUUCCCUCGCUCUGUGCACUGAGGAUCUUAGUGUUUACUCAUGAGGAAAACAGCACACUUAAAAGUCUUGAGGUUCAAAUCCAAAUAAUUGUGUGAUCAAAUCUCUCUGCAGGGUACGCCACAUUUCAGUCACCCAGUCACCCAACACUUUGUUACUCUCGUCAUACUGACACUUUCCCUUCAUUAGCUGAGGAAAAUCUUAGGCUUUGGCUAUUUGAACUUUGUGUGCUCUCACAAGGGAAUUCAGUUUCCUGUGUUGACAUGCUCUCAAGUUGGAAAAAUACAAGGGUUCUUUCCUUUAGCAAUUUCAUAAGAUUAUCCAUGUUAAGAUUCAUUAUCUUCAGCAUGUAAAGAGCUAAACCAUGCAUUAUUUUUUCCACCAAGUAAGUCAUGUUUUCCUGCCUUUUUGCAAAGGGCCUUAGAGACCUACUGUAUGCAUUGCAUGAAAUCUGGUGUACUGAUAGGCCUAAGGCCAAGGAACUGUUGAUUACAUUUUGGUACAUCUGGGAUUUCCGCCGUGAAAAAUUCUACAAGAAGUCUACUGAGCAACCAGAACAAGUUAUUAUAUUUAAUUUUUUUUUUUUUUU